rnacentral:rRNA from 1 species
AGAGUUUGAUCAUGGCUCAGAUUGAACGCUGGCGGCAUGCCUUACACAUGCAAGUCGAACGGCAGCACGGGGGCAACCCUGGUGGCGAGUGGCGAACGGGUGAGUAAUACAUCGGAACGUGUCCUGUAGUGGGGGAUAGCCCGGCGAAAGCCGGAUUAAUACCGCAUACGAUCUACGGAAGAAAGCGGGGGAUCUUCGGACCUCGCGCUAUAGGGGCGGCCGAUGGCAGAUUAGCUAGUUGGUGGGGUAAAGGCCUACCAAGGCGACGAUCUGUAGCUGGUCUGAGAGGACGACCAGCCACACUGGGACUGAGACACGGCCCAGACUCCUACGGGAGGCAGCAGUGGGGAAUUUUGGACAAUGGGGGAAACCCUGAUCCAGCAAUGCCGCGUGUGUGAAGAAGGCCUUCGGGUUGUAAAGCACUUUUGUCCGGAAAGAAAACUUCGGGGCUAAUACCUCUGGAUGAUGACGGUACCGGAAGAAUAAGCACCGGCUAACUACGUGCCAGCAGCCGCGGUU